rnacentral:rRNA from 1 species
AUACGUAGGGGGCGAGCGUUGUCCGGAAUGAUUGGGCGUAAGGGGCGCGUAGGCGGCCUGUUAAAUCUGGAGUGAAAGUCCUGUUUUCAAGAUGGGAAUUGCUUUGGAUACUGAUGGGCUUGAGUGCAGGAGAGGUUAUCGGAAUUCCCGGUGUAGCGGUGAAAUGCGUAGAGAUCGGGAGGAACACCAGUGGCGAAGGCGGGUAACUGGACUGCAACUGACGCUGAGGCGCGAAAGUGUGGGGAGCAAACAGGAUUAGAUACCCUGGUAGUCCACACUGUAAACGAUGAAUGCUAGGUGUAGGAGGUAUCGACCCCUUCUGUGCCGCAGUAAACACAGUAAGCAUUCCGCCUGGGGAGUACGGUCGCAAGAUUAAAACUCAAAUGAAUUGGCGGGG